AACGAACGCUGGCGGCAGGCCUAACACAUGCAAGUCGAGCGAGAACUUCGGACCUACCUGCGGACGGGGGAGUAACGCGUGGGAACGUGCCCUUUGCCUCGGAAUAGUCCUGGUAAACUGGGGGUAAUACCGGAUGAGUCCCGCUGGGGCAAGAUUUAGCGGCGAGGGAUCGGCCCGCGUUGGAUUAGGUAGUUGGUGGGGUAAUGGCCGACGAAGCGGACGAUCCAUAGCUGGGUUGAGACGACGAGCAGCCACCCUGGGAGUGAGACACGGCCCAGAAUCAUACGGGAGGGGGCAGUAGGCUAACUUAGACAAACGGGGUGAGUGUAAUAUAGCCACGCGGCGUAAAGGAUGAAGGUCGUAGGAUUGUAAAGCUCGUUCAGCUGGGAAGUUAAUGGCGGUACCAGCAGGAGAAGCCACGGCUAACUCCGUG
rnacentral:rRNA from 1 species